rnacentral:lncRNA from 1 species
UAGGGAGUAGGGUCGAUCUCUCAGAGACUGGGUUUACUGCAAAUUGUUACUCUAUUGACCAGAUUUAUGUCGAGGUAGUUAUCGUGCCCAAGAUAUUAGGGUGAGGAUAAAAUCGAAAACCUGGAACCUGAAAGAAAUAAAUAAAACGCGUAAAAAGUAAAAGUUGAAAAUGAAAUAAUAAAAAGUAGUUAAAUAAAUUUGAAGAAAAAUUAACUAGAAUAAGCUCAACUUCAGGCACGAAUUUUUCCUUGUCUUUAAAUCGAUCCUCGAAAUUAGAUGAACUCCUCUUCUCCAAUAAGCUAGUUAUAGCUACCAAGGACGCCUCGGACACCAACUCUUCCUUGUGUAAAUUAAUUAUGGAACGUCCAAUAACUAACCCUUACCGAUCGAACAAUCACAAAACGUUCGUGAUUUAGAUCUCCGGCAGCUUUGCGUUCUAGAAGAGCCUAGCUCGAACUAAUGUCCUCAACCGCGUGGGACAUUUAAAUCCGGUUACUACUUCCCUUGACGGAACCAAACAUCUAUCUCCACUUGGCACGCCAAUGUGUUCACAGAAAACAGAUUAGAAACGUUCCUUUCGGAAUUCCAACUGUACGUCUAACCACAUUAAAUCAAAUGACGUCUUUUUGACUUAAUGUUGAUCUGACUUUGUGAGUUGGCAAAAUCAUACUUUUAAUUUGGAGAAAUAAUAAGUACUGGAAUUUAGGAGUUAAAUCCCUCGGGUUCGUAACUCACGGGUUUUGACGAGGCUAAUUCUGGCCUAAAGCUGAAAAUGGGUUUAGUUGGCUAAGGUUUGAGGCAUGUUGGUAUUGGAAUAAUUAAAUAAGGGAAAAUGGAUGAAAGGAAUGGGAAGCGUGAUUUAAUUUGGGGGGCUAAAAUUUUGGUGGUGAAAUAAAGUAAUAAAGUGAAUUAGCUACUGGAGAUGGAAAGAAAGUUUGAAAAGGAAAUUGAAAAUGGUUUAAGUGGUAACAAGCUGGAAAAUUAGGAAUUGAAAGUAAAGGAAACUAAAGACAACAAAUAAAUUUGUGAGAAAAGAGAGAAUGUAUUGAAAGAUGAAUGCUUGAUAUUUCAAUUGAUGAUUAAAAUGAACAAAUGUAGCCUCUAUUUAUACUAAUGGCCUUGCUAAAUUAAGAGCCAAUUAGUAUAGAAAAUCAAGGAAAAUAUUCAAUAUCCCAAAAUAAUCUCCAACUGAGUCAACAAUUUUAGCUAAUUAUUCUUGGAAAAAUUCUGCUUUGGCCCUCCUUCUUUGCUUCUUUCUUCAAUCUAGCCUAAUUGUUUCCUUUUUCUUCUAUUUAGCCCCAAAUUGCAUCCCUGCACAAAAUUCAAUAAAUAUGGCAAAAUUAGUGGUGCAUUCUCAUAAAUUAAUCAAUUUAAUUACAUAAAAUAUGUAACUUUAGCAUUUAAUCAAAUCCCCCUACUUAGCUUAUGCUAGUCCUCGAGCAUUUUGUAUGUAUCUGCAAAAGGAAAAAUUUUCUCCAAAAUAGGACUUGACCCCCAUGAUUUGCACAAUUCAACAAUUUAAUCCUAGCACAUUAACAUCUCAAAUAACCUAGCCUAAGAAGUAAGUAAAUAUAUUUCAGAAUUUAUUAGAGUUUGAUAGACUUACCUUCAUUUUAUUAUUUUAUUUAUUUAUUUCUGUACUUAAGACAUUUUUGAAUUUUUUGACGCGAAACAUGAUGACAACCCAAGCACCAUGUUCCGGUUACUCAAUUCGGACGUCUCUAAGCGGGUUAUUUUGCCCUACUCAUGAUUACUUGUUAACGGAGUGAGUGCAAAGAAAUUGAGCAGCCACACGAACCUUUUUACGCGAGAUGUAAUGACAACCCAAGCACCACGUUCUGGUUACUCAGCCCGAUGUACAGCCACAAUUUUUCACUCUUAACAUUCUAUCAGAGGAGUAUUUUUUUUGCAUUAAAAAUUUUGACAUAUGAUAAAAAGUAGACAGUCAAGCAAACUUAUAAUUCCCAAAAAAAUUUCUUACCCAUUAAGUCUAGGUUAUUGAAAAGUUUUAUGUGUAAAGAAUUAAAUAGCUAAAUAGGUCAAACCAUAAGUGUACCAUUCCAAUUUAAAAGAAAAAUUUUACCUUUUACCAAAAACAUGCAAAAAUAGCGAUGACAGAUAAGCAAAUUAGAACCAAUUUAUGUUUCCCUCCCCCCUACUUAUUUUACAUUGUCCCAAUGUAAUUCAAAGAAUAAAAGUAAAGAUAAGUAGGAGAAAGAGAGAAAAAAGAAACUCCCCAUGUAUUUCAAUGUCGUAGAGGUUGGUCUCGUAGGUAGAGUGGGCCUUGGCUGAAAUAAAAAGAAUUUUGUGGGUUGACAUGUAGAAUUUAAUUUUCUCUUGGAAUGUUUUCCUACAAAAAUAAAAUAAAAUAGUAAAAAUAAAUAAUAAUAAUAGGAAAAUUAAAUUUUUUUUCUUUUCAAAUUUAUUAGCUAAGCUAUAAACUCAAGAAAUAAAUUAUUAAAAACUAAGAUUACGAGAUUUGGUAAAAUAGUCGUGAUAAAUGCGCCAAGUAAGUUCCCAGGAAAGAGAGGUGAGUCACAAUGGACAUACUUAAGUACCAAGUCUUUCCUUAGACAGAACUAAUCCUCGACAUGCAUUUUGAUUUUCCAUUUUACCAAAAAUUUUAUUUUCAUAAAGGAAAAGAAAAUUUGGGUUGCCUCCCAACAGCACUUUGUUUAACGUCGUUUAGCUCGACGACUUGUGUUAUUCAAAUUCUUUAUCCUUUUGUAAUAGACUGCAAAGCGGUUGCAUGAUUUUCAAGAAGUCUUUUAUGAAUCGUCUAUAAGAUCCGUACACCGUGAAGUCAUUCAUGAAGACUUCAAUGAUUUUCUUGACAUAAUCGGAGAAUUUGCUCGACAUGCAUCUCUAGAAAGUGGUCGGAGCAUUAUAGAGUCUAGACGGCAUUCGUCUAUAUGCAAACGUUUCAAAAAGGCACGUGAAAGUUGUUUUGUCUUGAUCCUCAGGCGCCACCAGAAUUGGGAAAAAUCCUGAAUAUCCAUUGAGACUACAAUAAUGAGUCUUACCAGCUAAUCGCUUGAGCAUUUGAUCGAUGAAGGGAAGUGGAAGAUGGUCUUUCCGGGUAGCUGCGUUCAACUUCUUGUAAUCGAUGCAAACCCUCCAUCCAUUCUGGACUCGGGUAGGAACUAGCUUUCCUGACAAAUUUUUCACCACUAUCACGCCAUUUUUCUUGGGCACGACAUGAACUGGGCUAACCCAAUCACUGUCGGAGAUCGGGUAUAUCAUUUCAGCAUCCAACAAUUUCUGGAUUUUCGAUUCUAUUCUGACUUUUGGAUCAAAGAUCUGCUUUUCCCGUUCGUUGUCUUGCCCAUGACUUUUUUCUGGAACUGUUUCCAAAACUUUUUCGCUACGAAGAGUUAUUACACUUACAUUCUGCCUAGGAUUCGGCUCUAUCUAGGAAGGUAAUUUACCUUGAGACUCUAAACGAUUAACUGCCAUCGAGAGUUUACUAACUUGAGUAGUUAACUCUGUAUUGAUGCAUCUGUCCUCUGUUGAUAUUUUACAGCAUCAACGACAAGUCUUUCCACAAUAGCUUCUAGAGAUGUGCUCAGCUUGGGUGGCAGUUGCGGUGGUUGCAAAGGUUACGGUUGGUAUGACGGAUUAUAUCAAGGAUUAGCUCCGUAAUUCAAGUUGGGAUGAUCCUUCCACCCGGGAUUGUAGGUGUUGGAGAAAGGAUCAUAGCGUCUUUGCGGAGGUCUCGGAAAACCUCCAACAUCGUCAACAUGUGCCGUUGAUUUUUCGUUAAGGAUUGGGCACAAAUCCGUCGGAUGUUCAGAUGUAGUACAAAUUCCACACAGCUGGGUCAGAUUCUUCUUUUCUGUAAGCAUAGUUUGAACAAUAUUAGUGAGCUUAUACAAUUUAUCUUCUAAGGAUGAAACAUUUACCCCAUUAACUCGUCUUGUGGGUUCUGAAUUUGGCCUAUACUGUUGAGAAGUUACCGCCAUGGUGGAUAUCAGUUCUCUUGCCCUUUGAGGAGUCAUAUUGACAAGCGCCCGUCCACUAGCAGCAUCAAUCAUUUUCAUUUCCAUAGGGAGCAAACCCUCGUAGAAAUACUGAAGAAGUGAUUGCUCGGUCAAACCGUGUUGAGGACAACUUGCACACAGUUUUUUGUAUUGCUCCCAAUAGUCAUAGAGCGAUUCACUUUCCAUUUGGCGAAUUCCCACUAUGUCUCUCCUAAGUUCAGCUACUCGCGAUGCUGGGAAGAAUCUAUCAAGAAAAACACGAGAUAAGUCAUCCUACGUUGUAAUAGAACCUGGAGGUAAGUAAAAUAACCAUUCUCUUGCUGUAUCAACUAAAGAAAAAAGAAAGGUCCGAAGUUUGAUUUCAUCUUCGGUUACUCCCUGAGGUUUCAUGCUUGAGCAGACCAUGUGGAAUUCUCUCAAGUGAGUGUGUGGAUUUUCAUUCUUCAAGCCUCGAAAAGUGGGCAAAAGGUGGAUCAGGCCUGACUUCAACUCAAAUGGGGUUUCUCCGAUUGGAUAGUUGAUGCAUAACAGUGUUUACUCAUUGGGCGCAGCAGCUAGUUGAUGAAUGGUUCGGUUUGCCAUCCUUUCUUGUUCACCGAGGUUGUCUCCUGCCUCUUUUGUUUCACAAAGUGGUUUGGUCUCAGUUUCAACCACUGCGACUUCUUUUCCACGUUGAAUUGCUUCUACACGUUUAAGAACUUCCGCUCUUUACGUCGUGCUUGUGCUGAUUUUUUGAUCUCUGGGUCGUAUUCGAGAUCUCCGGAUGAAGAUCUGGUUAUAAAGAUAAUCUAAAAAAUUUGUAAGUGUUGCCAAUCCCCAGCAACGGCGCCAAAACUGAUGGGUGUCAAAUCCACCAAUAUAAAUCUACACCUAAUUUUGCAAAUUUAAGCAGUAUAGGGAGUAGGGUCGAUCCCUCAGAGACUGGGUUUACUGCAAAUUGUUGCUCUAUUGACUAGAUUUAUGUUGGGGCAGUUGUCGUGCCCAAGAUAUUAGGGGGAGGAUAAAAUCGAAAACCUGGAACCUGAAAUAAAUAAAUAAAACGCGUAAAAAGUAAAAGUUGAAAAUGAAAUAAUAAAAUGCAGUUAAAUCAAUUUAAAGAAAAAUUAAUUAGAAUAAGCUCAGCUUUAGGCACGGAUUUUUCCUCGUCUUUAAAUUGAUCCUCGAAAUUAUAUAAACUCCUCUUCUCCAAUAAGCUAGUUAUAGCUACCAAGGACGCCUCGGACACCAACUCUUCCUUGUGUAAAUUAGUUAUGGAACGUCCAAUAACUAACCCUUACCGAUCGAACAACCAUGAAACGUUCGUGAUUUAGAACUCCGGCAGCUUUGCGUUCUAGAAGAGCCUAGCUCGAACCAAUGUCCUCAACCGCGUGGGACAUUUAAAUCCGGUUACUACUUCCUUGACGGAACCAAAUAGCUAUCUCCACUUGGCACGCCAAUGUGUUCACAGAAAACCGAUUAGAAACGUUCCUUUCAGAAUUCCAACUGUACGUCUAACCACAUUAAAUCAAAUAACGUCUUUUUGACUUAAUGUUGAUCUGACUUUGUGAGUUAGCAAAAUCAUACUCUUAAUCCGGAGAAAUAAUAAGUACUGGAAUUUAGGAGUUAAAUCACUCGGGUUCGUAACUCACGGGUUUUGACGAGGCUAAUUCCGGCCUAAAGCUGAAAAUGAGUUUAGUGGGCUAAGGUUUGAGGCAUGUUGGUAUUGGAAUAAUUAAUUAAGGUAAAUGGAUGAAAGGAAUGGGAAGCGUGAUUUAAUUUGGGGGGCUAAAAUUUUGGUGGUGAAAUAAAGUAAUAAAGUGAAUUAGCUACUGGAGAUGGAAAGAAAGUUUGAAAAGGAAAUUGAAAAUGGUUUAAGUGGUAACAAGCUGGAAAAUUAGGAAUUGAAAGUAAAGGAAACUAAAGACAACAAAUAAAUUUGUGAGAAAAGAGAGAAUGUAUUGAAAGAUGAAUGCUUGAUAUUUCAAUUGAUGAUUAAAAUGAACAAAUGUAGCCUCUAUUUAUACUAAUGGCCUUGCUAAAUUAAGAGCCAACUAGUAUAGAAAAUCAAGGAAAAUAUUCCAUAAUAUAAAAAAAUAUCCCAAAAUAAUCUCCCACUAAGUCAACAAUUUCAGCUAAUUAUUCUUGGAAAAAAUCUGCUUUGGCCCUCCUUCUUUGCUUCUUUCUUCAAUCUAGCCCAAUUCUUUCCUUUUUCUUCUAUUUAGCCCCAAAUUGCAUUCCUGCACAAAAUUUAAUAAAUAUGGCAAAAUUAGUGGUGCAUUCUCAUAAAUUAACCAAUUUAAUUACAUAAAAUAUGUAACUUUAGCAUUUAAUCAUUGAAGGACAACAAACGUGAAUGAUGGAGUUUCCAACAAUUGAAAUGGGAAAAAGAAAAGUUGAAUUGUUUUGAUCAACAUGCAUUAUGGAUGACAUAUGAAAUCAUUUUUUAUUAUUAAUUCUGAAUGGAACACAAAGGGUGCCUUCUCUGAGCUUUAAUAGCCAUGCUUAUGUAUUUAUUUAUGUUUAUUUGACCCUGUUGGUUUGGAUCAUCAUUUUGUGAAGAAAUUCAAUGGUAAUGUUGUAACUUUUUGAUGUUGUAAAAUUUUAUAACAUAUGGAUUAUGUUAUAUAAAUUAAUGAAAUCAUGUAACCUUUUGUUA